UUUGGUGUCUCAACUGUACCCGAGAAUGUGAAGGUUGUCGAUGAAUCGGGGACAGAGGUGGAUGAGGAUGUUUUUGAGGAUGUAGUGAAAGAUCCCUUAGUUGGUGUUCUCACCAUAAAACAUGGUGAAGACUUGGAAUCUGCCUCUCCACAAGCCUCUCCUGUGCAGUUAAAUGUGUCCCUGUCUUCAUCAAUUGACUCCACUGACUCACAGGAUACAGUAAUUAUUGAAGAAAGCUCCUCGAGUAAAAGAAUUAGACUAGACGAUGAAGCUAAAAAGUUGGUGGAAUCCAUUCUUGUCCAUAAACCCGGUGGGGAGC